GAUGAACGCUGGCGGCGUGCUUAACACAUGCAAGUCGAACGGAAAGGCCCAAGCUUGCUUGGGUACUCGAGUGGCGAACGGGUGAGUAACACGUGGGUGAUCUGCCCUGCACUUCGGGAUAAGCCUGGGAAACUGGGUCUAAUACCGGAUAGGACGAUGGUUUGGAUGCCAUUGUGGAAAGUUUUUUCGGUGUGGGAUGAGCUCGCGGCCUAUCAGCUUGUUGGUGGGGUAAUGGCCUACCAAGGCGUCGACGGGUAGCCGGCCUGAGAGGGUGUACGGCCACAUUGGGACUGAGAUACGGCCCAGACUCCUACGAGAGGCAGCAGUGGGGAAUAUUGCACAAUGGGCGCAAGCCUGAUGCAGCGACGCCGCGUGGGGGAUGACGGCCUUCGGGUUGUAAACUCCUUUCGCUAGGGACGAAGCGUUUUUGUGACGGUACCUGGAGAAGAAGCACCGGCUAACUACGUG
rnacentral:rRNA from 1 species